UAAUAAUAAUAAUUAAUUUUCUUAAAGCUGGUCAAUUAGGUUUACUUCACGUUCACAGUUUCACUUGCAAAUUUAAAUAAAAAAUUUAUUCACUCUCCCCCCGUGUCUCUCUCUAAAAGCUAGAGAGAGAAAGUAGAUAUCGUCCAACAUCGCUUCCUCCAAACAAACCCACAUCGCCGUUUCUUCCAAACAACCAAAUCGAUGUUUCCGGCUUCUUGCAACGAAAUAGGAUAAUUCUCUCAACCUCCGUUCUCAAUCUUCAAAUCCUUUCCUGUAAUUCAAAUUCGUUAUCUCUUCAUUGAAUCCUAUGUUUCAAUUGGUUACAGGACAUCAUGUUUUGGGAGACCCUAGUUUGUUGAUGAGUUGAUUAUCAGCGAAAUUGAUUCUCGUGUUGGAGGUGAACUUUCUCUACAAUAUCGUUGUUUUAGCUGGAUCUUCGAUGAUUCUGCCAGGCCAGGCCAACCUCAGAUCUUCAACCGCGUUCUAAGAGUUU